CUCCUCACCAGCUAACCCCAGGAGGAGGGGGGUGAUGCUCAGCUUCAGCAAAGCUCUGGCUGUGUAUUUACAGGUCACAUUUGAUGGCCAUUCACCUGGCACUGGAUCCCAGGCUCACCGCUGUCCCGGGGAGCUUCUACUGGCACCAGUGGGAAGCUGUUUGCUGAGUAGGAAAAGACGAAGCGACUCAGUGCACUGGAUGGCCAUCUGGUUUCUGUAGGACAUGCUGGAAGUGGCUUCUUAAAUUGUUGGAGCAGAAAUAUUAUCAAGAAAGCAUCCCUCACAGUGAUUUCGAUGGUUCCUGUAGUCCUGGGAUAAGAUAUAUAAACCUGAAAAAAAUGCUGGAGGCAAGAGACAAAGCAGCUGUGGAAGACAGUUCCUAUUCAUGGGCAGGUUGUGCAGCAGUGGCAAUGGGCUUCAUUCUCUUUGAGACAAAAGGUUUAAACAGACUUUUCUCCAAAUAUAUUAUCAGCAUAAAAGACA
rnacentral:lncRNA from 1 species